CUUCUCUCUCUUUCAUUUGAG
rnacentral:siRNA from 1 species